rnacentral:rRNA from 1 species
CCCGCACAAGCGGAGGAACAUGUGGUUAAUUCGAUGAUACGCGAGGAACCUUACCCGGGCUUGAAAUGCAUCUGACGUAGGCAGAGACGUCUAUUCCCCUUCGGGGCAGACGUGUAGGUGCUGCAUGGUUGUCGUCAGCUCGUGCCGUGAGGUGUCGGCUUAAGUGCCAUAACGAGCGCAACCCUCAUCAUUAGUUACCAACAGGUCAAGCUGGGGACUCUAGUGAGACUGCCAUCGUAAGAUGUGAGGAAGGUGGGGAUGACGUCAAAUCAGCACGGCCCUUACGUCCGGGGCGACACACGUGUUACAAUGGGUGGUACAAAGGGCAGCUACCUGGCGACAGGAUGCUAAUCUCGAAAACCACUCUCAGUUCGGAUCGGAGUCUGCAACUCGACUCCCGUGAAGCUGGAUUCGCUAGUAAUCGCGCAUCAGCCAUGGCCGACGGUCGUAAUACGGUUCCCGGGCCUU